rnacentral:rRNA from 1 species
ACCUACGGGGCGCAGCAGUGGGGAAUAUUGCACAAUGGGGGAAACCCUGAUGCAGCGACGCCGCGUGAGUGAAGAAGUAUUUCGGUACGUAAAGCUCUAUCAGCAGGGAAGAAAAAAAGUCCUUUGGACUUUGGACGGUACCUGACUAAGAAGCCCCGGCUAACUACGUGCCAGCAGCCGCGGUAAUACGUAGGGGGCAAGCGUUAUCCGGAUUUACUGGAUGUAAAGGGAGCGUAGACGGUGCGUCAAGUCUGAAGUGAAAG